UACGGAGGGUGCAAGCGUUGUCCGGAAUCACUGGGCGUAAAGGGCGCGUAGGCGGUCGUGACAAGUCACUUGUGAAAUCUCCGGGCUUAACUCGGAACGGUCAAGUGAUACUGUCGGACUAGAGUACAGAAGGGGCAACUGGAAUUCUCGGUGUAGCGGUGAAAUGCGUAGAUAUCGAGAGGAACACCUGCGGCGAAGGCGGGUUGCUGGGCUGAUACUGACGCUGAUGCGCGAAAGCCAGGGGAGCGAACGGG
rnacentral:rRNA from 1 species